rnacentral:rRNA from 1 species
AACGAACGCUGUCGGCAGGCUUAACACAUGCAAGUCGAACGCCCCGCAAGGGGAGUGGCAGACGGGUGAGUAACGCGUGGGAAUCUACCUAGAUCUACGGAACAAGUGAGGGAAACUUCAGCUAAUACCGUAUACGCCAUAAGGGGGAAAAAUUUAUCGGAAUUAGAUGAGGCCGCGUUGGAUUAUCUAGCUGGUGGGGUAAUAGCCUACCAAGGCUUUGACGGGUAGGGGGCGUGAGAGCGCGACCCCCCACAAUGGCACUGAGACACGGGCCAUACAUCUACGGAUGGCAGCAACUGGGAAUCGUUGGCAAUGGGCGAAGCCUGACCACGCGACGCCGCGUGAGGGAUGAAGUAUUUCGGUAUGUAAACCUCUUUUGACCCACAGUCGAUGUGGGUAGAAUAAGCACCUACAAACUACGUGCCAGCAGCCGCAGUAAGAC